rnacentral:misc_RNA from 1 species
UCACAGUUUGCACUGGCAGUCUGGUUAGAGUUCCCGACAUUACUCGCUGGCAACUAACCACAGGGGUUGCGCUCGUUAUAGGACUUAACCUGACACCUCACGGCACGAGCUGACGACAACCAUGCACCACCUGUGCACGGCCCUUACGGACCCACCAUCUCUGGAGGAUUUCCGUGCAUGUCAAGCCUAGGUAAGGUUCUUCGCGUUGCGUCGAAUUAAACCACAUGCUCCGCCGCU